GCAUGCUCAGAUAUACAGGGGGGCUUGAAAAGAGGAAGUGUCCAGCCCUCUUCCACUCAGCCUCCAGAAAGCCUAGCUGACACUAUGGUUCCUGGGAACAGCUGGAGAAAAUCACAUCACCUCCAGCUGCUCAGGGAGUGGAGGCCACCAUGCACAAAAGACCUAGAAGUCUUCCCCUAAACCUCAGAUAUGCAGGUAACACCACCAUUAUGGCAGAAAGCAAAGAGGAACUGAAGAGCCUCAUGAUGAAAGUGAAAGAGGGGAAUGAAAAAGCUGGUUACAACUCAACAUUCAGAAAACUAAGAUCAUGGCGUCUGGUCCCGUCACUUCAUGGCAAACAGAUGGGGAAACAAUGGAAACAGUGACAGACUUUAUUUUCUUGGGCUCCAAAAUCACCGCAGAUGGUGACUGCAGCCAUGAAAUUAAAAGACGCUUGCUCCUUGGAAGAAAAGCUAUGACCAACCUAGAUAGCAUAUUAAAAAGCAGAGGCCUUACUUUGCCAACAAAGUCCAUCUAGUCUAAGCUGUGGUUUUUCCAGUAGUCAUGUAUGCAUGUGAAAGUUGGGCCAUAAAGAAAGCUGAGUGCCAAAGAAUUGAUGCUUUUCAACUGUGGAGAAACUCUUGAGAGUCCCUUGGACUGCAAGAAGAUCCAACCAGUCCAUCCUAAAGGAGAUCAGUCCUGAGUGUUCAUUGGAAGGACUGAUGCUGAAGCUGAAACUCCAAUACUUUGGCUACCUGAUGCGAAUAGCUGACUCAUAGGAAAAGGCCCUGAUGCUGGUGAAGAUGCUGAAGGCAGGAGGAGAAGGGGAUGACAGAGGAUGGGAUGGUUGGAUGACAUCACUGACUUGAUGGACAUGAAUUUGAGUAAGCUCCGGGAGUUGGUGAUGGACAGGGAGGCCUGGCGUGCUGCAGUCCAUGGGGUCGCAAAGAGUUGGGCACAACUGAGCGACUGACCUGAACUAAACCUUCAGAAACAUGUAUACAACUGCACAGGCCCUUCUCUCCACAGGUACAUUUUUGGAACAAGCAGUCUACCUGCCUGUUCUUCACUUCCUCACCUUUUGAUCAUUUACCCUUUGACUCAACCCAUCUGAAACUGAACUCUUUACCCCUACCCUCCUCCACCUUAUACCACACACACACACCCUCCCAAGCCACAUCCUCCUUCUGAUUCACCGUCUCAGUUAAUGGCAUCAGGAUCCACCCACUUGAUCAAACCAGAAAAUUGAGUGUCCUCUUAAUCACCUCCCUGUCACCAUCCAACCAGGAGAUUCUUCUACAGCAGCAGAAAACAACUGUGAAUUGUUUAAAGUGCUUUAAAGAUGGACAUCUAUAUAUCAAGCAAAGCACAGUAUUAUCUGUCCCAUAUCUCAUAAGAAAAAAAGAAAAGGAAAUGUAAAGUGAUAUUCAUUUCUGUCCUGGGGUAUUCAACUGACAAUUGCAUUGUAUCAGAUUUUUAGCACUCACUAACUCACUCUGAACUGAACUGAACUGACUGAACUCACUCUCUAAAAACUGGUUCCAAAUCGGGAAAGGAGUACGUCAAGGCUGUAUAUUGUUACCCUGCUUACUUAUAUACAGAGUACAUCAUGAGAAAUGCUGGGCUGGAUGAAUCACAAGCUGGAAUCGAGAUUGCCGGAAGAAAUAUCAAUAACCUCAGAUAUGCAGAUGACACCAACCUUAUGGCAGAAAGUGAAGAAGAACUAAAAAGCCUCUUGAUGAAAGUGAAAGAGGAGAGUGGAAAAGUUGGCUUAAAGCUCAACAUUCAAAAAACUAAGAUCAUGGCAUCUGGUCCCAUCACUUCAUGGCAAAUAGAUGGGGAAACAGUGGCAGACUUUAUUUUUGGGGGCCCCAAAAUCACUGCAGAUGGUGACUGAAGCCAUGAAAUUAAAAGACGCUUGUGCCUUGGAAGGAAAGUUAUGACCAACCUAGACAGCAUAUUAAAAAACAGAGACAUUACUUUGCCAACAAAGGUCUAGUCAAGGCUAUGGUUUUUCCAGUAGUCAUGUAUGGAUGUGACAGUUGGACUAUAAAGAAAGCUGAGCACCGAAGAAUUGAUGCUUUUGAACUGUCGUGUUGGAGAAGACUCUUCAGAAGUCCCUUGGACUGCAAGGAGAUCCAACCAGUCCAUCCUAAAGGAAAUCAGUCCAGAAUAUUCAUUGGAAGAACUGAUGCUGAAGAUGAAACUGCAAUACUUUGGCCACCUGAUGCGAAGAGCUGACUCAUUUGAAAAGACCCUGAUGCUGGGAAAGAUUGAAGAUGGGAGGAGAAGGGGAAGACAGAGGAUGAGAUGGUUGGAUGGCAUCACCGACUGGAUGGACAUGGGUUUGGGUAAACUCCAGAAGUUGGUGAUUGACAGGGAAGCCUGGCGUACUGCAGUCCAUGGGGUCACAAAGAGUCGGACAUGACUAGGUGACUGGAUUGAACUGAAGUCACUCUCCAGGUACCAUGGUUUUUAAGGAUUUUGGAACAUAAUUUCCACAUGGUUCUUUUAAAAAAUAUGAUUAGGGAAUUCCCUCAUGAUCCAGUGGCUAAAACUUGGCGCUUUCACUGCCGGGGCUUCUUGUUUGAUCCUUGGCUGGGGAACUAAGCUCCUGAAACCCCCACAGCACAGCCAAAAAAAAAAUUGAAUGUUAAAAGUAUGAUUAUAUUAAUGGUUUAGAAAUAAAAUAAUAUGAUGGUUGAUUUCUUAUCAAUAUCAUUUGUGCUAAUUUCUAAGGAUUUGUCUCAUAUUGACUCUAAAUGUCAUGGUGUACAGACAUAGCUAACUCUGCUCAUUUUAAGAAACAAUAAUCCUAUUGCUUAAUAAGCAUCAGAAGGCCAUAAUCUAAGCCUAAACCAGUUCAAAUCAUAAAUCUGGGGGAGAUAAUGUAGUUUGGGAAACCUCUCCAAAAAAUCUGACAAGAGUGUGUGUUUAAUGUCUAAAAUAGGAAAGACACAGGCACUGUUAGUGAGUAUAGAGUUAUGUCUAAGACAUUUUUGAAAUGUAAUGAAACAAUUGACCAUUUACUCUGAUGAAAUGAUUCUUAAGUGUUGCCUAUGUGAUUUAAAGAAGCCAUAAUCCUUGAAAAUAAGGCAUUUUCCAAAACAUUUAAAAGAUGUCUAUU